AGCUCAGGUGGUAGAGCGCUUGCCUUGGAUGCAGAAGGCCCUGGGUUUGAUCCCCAG
rnacentral:tRNA from 1 species